UGACCUCAAAUCGGGUGAGACUACCCGCUGAACUUAAGCUAAAA
rnacentral:rRNA from 1 species